AGAAGUGUGCCCGAACUACAAGGAUUAUUUUGAUAAAAUAGACACAGAGACCAUCAACCUCUCACUUCUU
rnacentral:tRNA from 1 species